rnacentral:rRNA from 1 species
UACGAAGGGGGCUAGCGUUGCUCGGAAUCACUGGGCGUAAAGCGCACGUAGGCGGCUUUCUAAGUCAGGGGUGAAAUCCUGGAGCUCAACUCCAGAACUGCCUUUGAUACUGGAGAGCUUGAGUCCGGAAGAGGUGAGUGGAACUCCGAGUGUAGAGGUGAAAUUCGUAGAUAUUCGGAAGAACACCAGUGGCGAAGGCGGCUCACUAGUCCGGUACUGACGCUGAGGUGCGAAAGCGUGGGGAGCAAACAGG